UUCCUUUUCCCGCAUACGUUCAUCUUCAUUAGCAGCUCCUUCAGUGGACCUUCAGUGUUUCCUUUCAGAAUGGAUAUUGAGGUCUUGGUUGCAACAUCUGUUUCCUUAGAUCCUCGUCCUAAAACACAACAGACAAGACCUGGAGAGAACUGCUUAUAGAUUGGCUUUUUGGUUACAUACAUUAAUGUUUUUGUGUUGUUUGUUUUGGUGCAACCCAUUGGUUUAGUUGAUUUUAUUGAUGUUGUUUGUAUUGCUGUUGUGUAGACUGCUGAUUUAUCUUGUGCUUCUCUUGCCUGGAUAGCCCAAUCUUGUCAGAUCUUGGAAGCUAAACAGAGUCAGUCCUGGUUAGUACUCGGAUUGGAAUCCACUAAGAGCUUGCUACACAGAGAUCAUCAGUGGCAAACUACCUCUGAACAUCUCUUGCCUUUAAAAACCCUAUGGGAUAACCAUAAUUCAGUUGUGACUUGAUAACAAAAACAAUUGUUUACAAUAGAUUGUUUUUAUUGGAUUUUUUAAUGUUGUUGAUGGGAGCCAUGGAAUUUUUGGAAGAAGCUGGAGAUAUAUAAAUAUGUGACCUUCUUCUUUGUUUUCUAUUGUCUUUGACCCAUCUUUUUGCAAAUAGUGUGUGCCAUGCACAGCUUAUAUUCUUAUUGUGAAGAUUUGCAACCACCAAAGACAUUCUUAAUAACGUGUUCUACAAACACAUUACUUAUGUAUAUUCAGUAAUUUCCCUGCGUCUUAGACUGAUCUCCCACCCAGACAAACUCCCACCCAGACAAUCUAACCUAUCCAAGUUUAUCUCUCUCUCACUGAAGUAUCUUUGCUCUCUCUUUUGCUUGUUUUUCACUCCUUUUUCAAUCCUGAGUCUGUAUCAGGGACCUUGUUCUACUAGCCCAGUUCUGCAUGGGCUGCUGGUUUGCUUUUAUUUGAGCCUUGCUUAUUCCCCUCUAUAUCUAGGAAGAUGUAUAGUAAUGAUCAUAGCAGAGGAUGGGCCAUUCCAGACAGUUCUAGCUGCAUAUCACUGACUCCUGCAUCUUUUCCAUCUAAUACGCCAAUCUAUCCAGGAGAAAAGAUGAGUGUGCAGAGCAUUCAGGCACUCAUGGCUGCAGAAUAUUUCCUGUCACCUUAAAAUUGGUGGCUAUUGUGCACUGGCUAAAGAACACUCCUCCAUUCCAGAGAGGACACUGGGUAAGUAUGCAUUAUGCAGAAAGGGAACUCAGGUUGCCAGCAAUCCUCAAAUUCACCACCCACAAAUGAAGGCAAGAGAAAGCAUAGCCACCAGACAUGCGGCUCCAUUUGUUGCCACUGAUAGUUUCUUAUGACUCAUUUUCCUUCCAGAGUAAGAGCCAGGGCAUAUGGCAACAGAACAAACAGUAACCAGAAGCUGAGUUUUACAUUGGACUGGCAGCCAUUCACAUACACAGAAGCAAGGGUGCUACCUACUACCAGGACCAUGGAAAUUAUAAGUGAGGUCUACAAAAGCCCCAGAUGCCCAGCAGUUCAGAAGUCAGCUGUUGCUCUGUGAAGCUGUCAUCUUUUUUGCUCUACCAGAGGUUUUGUGUUUUAACAGAGAAUAUGACAGAUAGUAUGCCAGAGUUGCAGUAGCAGCCCAUAUACAGGUGCAGUAAUGGAAAGAUAGGCUCCUGUUGUUUCUUUGUCAGAAGGGCUUCAACUAGUAUCCCUUCAAAGCAACAAGCACAAAAAGUGCCAUAGAUAUGCUGGGAUUAGGUGCUUCUGUGAUGCAUAGCAGUUAUAGCUCCACUGCUGAUGCUGUUCAAUAAAAACUGCAAUCCUU